rnacentral:rRNA from 1 species
UUAAUAUUCCUGUACUUGGUGUUACUGCGAAGGGGGGACGGAGAAGGCUAUGUUGGCCGGGCGACGGUUGUCCCGGUUUAAGCGUGUAGGCUGGUUUUCCAGGCAAAUCCGGAAAAUCAAGGCUGAGGCGUGAUGACGAGGCACUACGGUGCUGAAGCAACAAAUGCCCUGCUUCCAGGAAAAGCCUCUAAGCAUCAGGUAACAUCAAAUCGUACCCCAAACCGACACAGGUGGUCAGGUAGAGAAUACCAAGGCGCUUGAGAGAACUCGGGUGAAGGAACUAGGCAAAAUGGUGCCGUAACUUCGGGAGAAGGCACGCUGAUAUGUAGGUGAAGCGACUUGCUCGUGGAGCUGAAAUCAGUCGAAGAUACCAGCUGGCUGCAACUGUUUAUUAAAAACACAGCACUGUGCAAACACGAAAGUGGACGUAUACGGUGUGACGCCUGCCCGGUGCCGGAAGGUUAAUUGAUGGGGUCAGCGCAAGCGAAGCUCUUGAUCGAAGCCCCGGUAAACGGCGGCCGUAACUAUAACGGUCCUAAGGUAGCGAAAUUCCUUGUCGGGUAAGUUCCGACCUGCACGAAUGGCGUAAUGAUGGCCAGGCUGUCUCCACCCGAGACUCAGUGAAAUUGAACUCGCUGUGAAGAUGCAGUGUACCCGCGGCAAGACGGAAAGACCCCGUGAACCUUUACUAUAGCUUGACACUGAACAUUGAGCCUUGAUGUGUAGGAUAGGUGGGAGGCUUUGAAGUGUGGACGCCAGUCUGCAUGGAGCCGACCUUGAAAUACCACCCUUUAAUGUUUGAUGUUCUAACGUGGACCCGUGAUCCGGGUUGCGGACAGUGUCUGGUGGGUAGUUUGACUGGGGCGGUCUCCUCCUAAAGAGUAACGGAGGAGCACGAAGGUUGGCUAAUCCUGGUCGGACAUCAGGAGGUUAGUGCAAUGGCAUAAGCCAGCUUGACUGCGAGCGUGACGGCGCGAGCAGGUGCGAAAGCAGGUCAUAGUGAUCCGGUGGUUCUGAAUGGAAGGGCCAUCGCUCAACGGAUAAAAGGUACUCCGGGGAUAACAGGCUGAUACCGCCCAAGAGUUCAUAUCGACGGCGGUGUUUGGCACCUCGAUGUCGGCUCAUCACAUCCUGGGGCUGAAGUAGGUCCCAAGGGUAUGGCUGUUCGCCAUUUAAAGUGGUACGCGAGCUGGGUUUAGAACGUCGUGAGACAGUUCGGUCCCUAUCUGCCGUGGGCGCUGGAGAACUGAGGGGGGCUGCUCCUAGUACGAGAGGACCGGAGUGGACGCAUCACUGGUGUUCGGGUUGUCAUGCCAAUGGCACUGCCCGGUAGCUAAAUGCGGAAGAGAUAAGUGCUGAAAGCAUCUAAGCACGAAACUUGCCC